rfam:Capsicum annuum cultivar Zunla-1 chromosome 10, whole genome shotgun sequence
AAAUUAGGGUGAGGGCAAUUCCUAAGAAUACCCUUAAAUCUCUCCCAAGCUUGGUAGAGAUUCUCUCCUUCUUUCUAUUUGAAACUCAAGAUCUCGCUUCUUAAGUGU